UACGGAGGGUUCAAGCGUUACUCGGAAUCACUGGGCGUAAAGGGCGCGUAGGCGGCCUAGCAAGUCUGGUGUGAAAGCCCAGGGCUCAACCCUGGAAGGGCACUGGAAACUGUUAGGCUUGAGUUCCGGAGAGGAGGGGGGAAUUCCCGGUGUAGCGGUGAAAUGCGUAGAUAUCGGGAGGAAUAUCGGUGGCGAAGGCGCCCCUCUGGACGGAAACUGACACUGAUACGCGAAAGCGUGGGGAGCAAACAGG
rnacentral:rRNA from 1 species